UAGAGGAGCCCUACGGUAUUCCUAAAUUUGCUACCCCAGGUCAGAGACCCCCGUCGCCUUGGCUCUAGUCGCAGCCCUCAACCCAGGGGGCACGGGACCCUCUUUGCAAAGCAGACAGUAAACCGCAGGUCGGUCUCUCGGCCCAAACGGGGAAGGCCUUGCCCCCGAACCAGCCCCUCUCCUUUCUCUGCAGUAAUCCGGAAACAUCACGCCGACUGCUCCACCUGCAUGCCCAGGCGGAGCUCAUCCAGAAGGAGGCGUCUUUCUCGGCUGCUCUGCUUGUGCUGGAGUUACUGAUGGGCGAACAGUGAGUCGCAGGAGGAGGGUGGUGUCCUCAGGGAGGGAGCAACCAGAGGGCCAGCAUUCAGCAGAAGGUGCAGGAGGACCAAAGCAGGCCCCUCGGGCUAGCUAGUUCAUCCCGGCCUUGGCCAUUUACGCCAGGAGGGGGGUGUUUAGCACCCACGCUCUCGAAUGACCUCGGGCCCCACUUCGUUUGGCAGAUUUUGGGACUCGCAGCCUGCGACGCCAGAGGCCUGCCACCAGGAGCUGGCUGGGCUGCGACUCGCAACGGGACGCAGACCGAAGGCAGCCUGGCGGGAGACGCAGACCGCCCCAGGGCGCUCGAUGACGGUUCUCCUCGACCGGCUGCUCCUCCAGCAAGAAAGGGACCGAUCCACCCUAGUCCACCUCCUGUGGACUCUCACAGACCCGGAGAUCGCCCGUGAAAGAGGCCACGACGAGACACCGCUGAGCCCCCUGGGAGCAGGAGUCCUGGGGGACGAAGUAUCACCCGGUUUGCAAGGCAUAGUCUCCCAGAUGCUGGCCCAGAAGCGCCUGGAAGCAGUAGCCCAGAAGGCGGACGUGUCGUGGCAAGACUGUGCCGUCGCGGUGCUUAUGGACCUGCAGCAAGAACAACAGCAGGAGCUGAGCCAGGCCAUCGAGGACCUGGUGGGCAUCGCCAGUGGACGGGAAGGAGAAGCCAGCCCCACGCUGUACGAGAGCCUCCUCGCCCGACUGCAGGAACCGCCGCUGAUGCCCUUGAUCCGAAGAAGGCAACCCUGGCCGUCCACCUCCUGGCAGAUGGGGAGAGAAAAAGAAGCCGUUCCAGCAGAUGAAAUGGAGAAAGCAGUCGACGGGGGAGGUCAACCUUCCCUCAAGGAGAAGCAGGAACGGCUGGUGACGCCCGCCCAAGGACCUCCGCAGGCCUUUGACCUUCCGGAUAGCGUUGAGGAAAAAACCUUACCCACUCAGGAGACGCUGGCGCCUCUGCCCCAAGAACGGGAGGAACCGGAGGCCACUCCACGUCAGCUGGAACGGGAGGCUCUUCAGGCCCACCAAGACCUCCAAGAAAAGCGGCCGGCGCUUCAGAUUUCUGACAUGGGUCCUUCCGAAGCUCCGUAUAACCAGCAACAGAAAGUUCCAGGACUUUCGCCAUUCCAGGGUGUUCUUCUGAAGAAAUCAAAAUCUCUGGACCCCCAAGAGUUGUCGCAGGUCAGCGUGGAAGAACCCUGGGGUUCACCACAGGUUCAGCUGGGUUGUGUGCACCCCCAAGGCCCGCAACCCCAGGGACCAAGAGAGGCCGAAAUUCAGGAAGGUUCCCAGGCAGAGGGUCCCAGUUCGAAGGACAGAGUGCAAAACUGGGAAUUUCCAGAGAGCGGACAAGAGCUUGUCCAGAGCCCAGCCCCGUUGCAGAAAGAGCCCGGAGUGUCUGUGGUGGAAGAGGGUCCAGAUCUCAAAGCCCCUGGAGCUUCGUCGAGGGAGAGACCUGUUCCCUGUUCUCAAGCACAGGGGAAGACAGAGGCCGGUCUGGCUCCGAGGGAGACCGCAGAAGCUCAAGAGAACCUCAAGAGAUCUCUGGAAAUAAGGGAACAAGUUGGUGCUCUGAGGAAACCAGAGGCGCUCCCACCCCAGGCUGGUUUGGCAAGGAAAGCCAAAUCUCUGGAGUCAGUGGCGACAUCAAGAACACAGGGAGGGAGGGAGCAGGAAAACCUUCUCACUCCAGAAAUGCCACAAGGAAUCCCUCUGGAGGUGACACAGGAGGGGCUAGAUCUGCCCCAAGGGAUGCUGUGGGAAGCACCAGAUGCUCUCACUGCCCCACAGACCCGUGAGGGUCUCAGGGCAUCCAGGAGAGAGCAGGAAGGCCCUGAGUCGCAGGGGAAGGAGCAACUCCAUCGUCAUGCCCAAGGUCCGAUGGGUCCAGAGGGGGUCCUGCCCCACAUCCCAGGACCUCUGCAAGGAGAUCGAAGGGGACGUGUUGUUCAAGAAACGGGGAGCCCUCAAGGUCCGUAUCUCCCAGAGGAGAGGGUUCUAGAAACCGCAAGAGACCAGAGGGAGCCAGAGCUUUCUCGGCCUCAAGACCUUCUUCUCUGCAGAAAUCUCUGGAGAAAAUCAAAGUCUCUUGAGCUGAGGAGGGCACCAGGCAUGGAGCCCCAGGAAUCAAGAGGGCUGCACGGAGCUUCUCCACAAGUCCAGGAUUUGCAGAACAUGGACACAAGAACGCUCCCACUUCGGGGCCACAAGCAAGCCAAAGGUUCUGGGUCCCCGGAAAUACGGAGCCAUCAGCCAGAGGAGACUUCUCUGAAAAAAGAAGAAGCGCUUCAGGUGAUAAGCAUGAAACAGGAAGAGGGAAGGUCGGCUGCACUUCAAAAUGUGGAAGAAAUGGGCGCCCUCUUACCCAAGGACGGACAAGAGGCAGAAAGCCACCAGUCUCAGGAGGUUCCACUGGAAAAAACACCCUCCCGUGACUUGACGGAGUCACCAGAACGUCACCCCCGUGAAAGGAAGGGGUUGGAAAUUUCCUACGUCCAGGAAGCUGCUCCAGAAACACAGGCAGGAAUCCCUCAGGAACUCAGACGGAGGGAAACACCGCCUCUUCUGUGGAGGGUUCUGUGGCAGAAGGCAAAAUCGUUUGAGCUCAGGAAAUGGGAUGUUCUUCGGCGUCCCGAGCUGGAACUGGCUCUGGCCCAGAAAAUACCACAGGAGGAACUGGGUGCUGCUCAGUUUCCUCAGGAGAUGAAGGAAACGUCCUUGGUUCAGCCACAGGACAAACCAGAGAUGGGCCCAGAGACACAAACGCCUCAGGAGCCAAGGCACUCCGAGAUCCUUUCCAACCAGAGAAAGGUUGAAGCAGAAAAGGCCACUCAAGGAGAGAAACCACAUCAGAUUUUGAAGAUGUCAGGAAUUCCUUUGGAUGCUCGAGUGGAACCAUCAAACAUUUCCGGAGAGAUCCGGGCCCUUUCACCUCAGGAGACGAGGAAGCCGGAAGCCCCUGCCAUCCAGGAGGGUCCACAGGGAAGUCCAGAGAUGCUUCAGAGUCAAGGAUUUCCACAGAAGGAGGUGAAGUUGACAAGCCGUCUGGGAACGUCCGUGCAAGGAGAACCAAAGGAGCCACAGCUCUCUGAAAGGAAGACUCUGGAAAACCGACAGGCCCAAGACGCCGUCUCACAAAAGGAUGUGUGGGUUCGUCAGCCCGAGGAAGGCAGGAGCCCAGAAUCUCCCCCUCUUCUGUGGGCAGCCUCGGGGAUAAAGUCAAAAUCUUUUGAGUUGGCGAAAGCAGAUGCUUCAGAAGCCCAGGACCUCGGGAGAUCACAGAAGGUUCAGUCACAGAAAAAAGUACAGAUGAAUCUCAAACUUAAGGAGCCCUAUGGAAGUAAACAUCCAAGUGUGAUUUCAUCUCGGGAACUGAGAGAGGAUGAUGCCACUCAGGUCCAAGCCGAGAAAGAAAGCUUGAAGGAAGAGAAGAUAGGGUCUGUGGAUUCCCAAGGGGCUGUGCCCCAGAAGGAGACCCCUCAGCCUCAGGAAAGUGAGACCUUAAAACAUCCUCUUCUGCAGGAGAAGCAGGGCUUUCUAGAUGAAAAGAAAAUGGAGUUCAGAAGAUCUCACGACCAGGGAAUCCCACCGAUAAACCUUUCUGAAUCACCACAGAAAGGGGCAGGACGGCUGAAGGAGCCAGAGGUGGUUUUUCAAGAACUGGGAGUUCCACAGGCUCUUCAGCCUUACGAAAAAGAGUGUCAUGAGAUAUUGGAGCCCCAAGAAGAUGGCUCCCCACCUAAAACGGUCCUUCACCACCAGGAAGGUAGAAGCUCAGAAACGCCUCCGCUUUUGUGGGGCGUCCUGGAGCUGAAGGCAAAAUCAUUUGAGCUGCAAAAGCCCAAAGUCUUUCAGACCCAAGAUAUGAGGCGCAUGGAGCCAGCCUUUUUGGCCCAAAGGGUGUCGCAGGAGGGACCACGAGCUUCUCAGGUCCACGGUGUGCAUGGGCUGCAGAGGGUCUUACCCCAAGGAGAACCACCCCUGGCAACAAGGGCCCCUGAAACACAGGCAGAUGGCCCUCCAGGGCCCCUUGGUCCAGCAGAACAGAGGGAGCUGGAAGCCCAUCUGGUCCAAACAGAGGAGAAAAGUUCUCACACGUUGAAGGCUUCAGGUUCUCAAGAAGAAAGCACUCCACCCAUGCCUCAGAUUCAGCAUCGCUUGCUGCAGGAUUCGAACGCGGUUCCAGUUCUUCAGCAUCAAAAACUGGGAGGGCUGGAAACCCACCAAGCUCAAGCAAGCUCACCGAGAAGGCCAGCAACUUCUCAGAGUACUAUAAUUCAGCAGCAAGGAUUUGAGCAGGCCUCCCGCCCACGUGGAGAGGAGACGCCUGGUUCUCCACCGUGGCCGCCAUCGGCUGAGAUGGAAACGGGGUUUCCUCAGCACCCGAAACGCACGAGCCCAGAAACGCCGCCUCUUUUCUGGUGGGCCUUGGAACUGGCGCAGCGAGGGAGGCUCCACCGAGGAGGGCUGGCUCCUUCUCAUCCCCAAGAGGAACCACCUGCCACCGAACGACAGGUAGGACUUGAGAGGCAACCGAAGGCCACAGAGGCCGGUAGUUUCGUGGUCUCUUCUCAGGGGGUCGAGAAGGCUCGAGUACGGAACGGUGUCUCUCAGGAGAAAGGAGUAACAUCAACGGGUGCGCUUCUUUCCCCUCAGGAAAAAACAGACCCAAAAUCCCCACAGCUUCAGGAGGAGAGGUCCCUAAAGGGAGAAUCCGUUAGUUGUGGGUGGUCCGUCUCACAACUGUGUGAGUCUCGGGAAGGAAUGGAGGCAAAGGAGCCUCCCAAAGCCAAGGACGAGGUCUUAGAAGCCCAGGGACGGAGAAAGAGGCAGCCGGCUCCCCUUCAGAAAUCUACCCAAAUCGAGAGGGACCCUCAAGAUGCAGAGGGAACCCAAAGAGAUCUGGAGGAUCUAAAGAGUUCUCUGCUACAGGGGAAAGGGUCUCCAAUAUGGGAUUCGAAGGAAAGGGAUCCUUUUCAUGACCAGGUGUCUGCCCCCUCCCAAGAGAAACCAGACACCCCGCACUCUUCAUCCACAUCUCUCCAGACUCAGGAGAUGCUGAAAGGUGAGCCUGGAGGUGGUGGUCCUUCGGGUGGGCCCCAGGUCCUUGGCCAAAAGGAAACACCCCUGGAAAGCACGGAGAAUCUGGAAGGGGUCAAACUAGGCGACUGCACAGCGGCUGAAACUCCGGAAGAUCAGAGGAAGGCAGAAGGUCUCCUGCCUCCAGGAAAAUUAAUACGGAAAUCGAAAUCUCUUGACCUAACGAAGCUACGAGACCCAGACUCACAAGACGUGUGGCAGCAGGAAGCACCUCAGGCUCACGGAGAAAAAACAAGCUCGGAAGCCUUUCAGGUCCCAGAGGAACACCAGAUGAAACUGCCAAAACGUCAUAUGCCAGAGGCCUCUGAGGCCGAGAGCACGGGAAACGUCCCUCGUGGACGGGAUGCAGAAAGCCAGACGUCUCCACAGGGAAUCUUAGGAGGCAUCUCAGAGCCUCUUCAGUUGAUGGAGCCAGAGGUCCCUCAGAGCCAGGAACUGAAAGGUCGUGUCGCACUUCACCCUCGUGGUUCACCACAGAGUCAUCCUGAGAACCUCACUCUCCAGGGAAAGAAGGAUCCCAAGGCUCUCUGCCCCCAGGGACACUGUGAAGGAGGAGGGAGCUGCAACUCUGUGGGGAAAGAUAAGCCCGGUGAGAUGCAUGGGGUUCUGCAAAGAUCCGCUUCCACCUUCCUCAUACAAGACGCUGCCGAGUCUCAGACAGCUCAGCUCAGGAAAUCAAAGUCUCUUGAGCCUCAGGAAUGGUCUGCGGUUCUGCUUCAAGGUCUGAAGGAACCAGCAACUCUCCAAGCUUCAGAAAGUGCGAAGGAAUGCCCUCAGGUUCUGGAGAGCUGUGGAAAUGAUCCACCUCACUGUGAUGCUACAGAGAUGGGGAGCAUGGCUUUGCAGGACCUGCAGGUUCUUAGGAAUGAAGUUCAGUCUCCCACACAACAGGAAAAGAGUCCUCUGGAGGAUUCAGCCCCACCGAAAAGAGAAAAUGGUCCAGACCUCUUGGGUGCCCAUGAAGACAUCCCCUUGAAGAUUGAGAAGUUCCAAGGAGUGGAAGAAAUGGAGGUCCUCCAACCACCGAGGGCUCCUCAGGUAAAAGAUGCCCCUGUACAGAUCCCAGGGGUUAUGGAAGCAAACGCUGGGAGUUCUGUGAGUCUGGAACCCAAAGAUUCAAAGAACGAGCGCACACUUCUGCUGCAGGACACCGCCGUGAAGGAGGCCGCAAGUCUUGAGUCUCCAACUGAGUGGCCCAUAACAGGUUCAGAGGCAAAAGCCUUUGGGUCCUGGUGGACUCUGGAGAAAUCUAAGUCUCUUGACUCAGGAGAAUUCCGUGCUCUCCAGUCAAAACCUUUAGGAAGAAAUGAGGAUUCCCCUGAGCUUCAGAAUAUCAAUAAACUCGGCAUGCCUUCGCCACAAAGAAAGCUUCAGGAGCAGCUCAGAGCACCUCAAGAAACACUUCCGCUCCAUGAACAUCUCCAAGAAGAUUCCCAAAACCAGGAUGAAAGAGGGUCUGAGGUCCAGAGAAAACAUCAGGUAGAGUCGGAACCUGUCAAGGUCCAAGAGCCAAUGAGAAAUGAAGGACCAGCCGUUUGUUUCCAGAACCAUGAAGAUACUGAGAUGUUCUCCUUCAAGAAAUGUGAGGAAUUAGAGGAUCGCCCCUUCCAGGAACAUUCCCCGAGGGAAGGAGAGUGUCUUGCCAUGCAAAGUUGCAAGCAAGUAGAACAAGACCCUCGAGGGCUGGAGGAAAACCAGCUUCUUGAUUCCCAAGAAAAGAGAGAUGUACAGAGUCCUGCAUUGCUAAGAAACCUGAUUAGGAAAUCUAAAACGCUGGGGUUUGAAUUGCCAACGAGGAGUGACGUUGGCCAGAUCCAGGAUGUUCCCAAAUCAGAAAGCCCUCGGGGCCAAGUUACGCUCAAACUAGGAACACGAUUGCCGCAUGAACAGAGGGAGCAAGGGGCUCAUUGCCUCGAGCAGCUGAGUCAGUUGGAUGUCCUUCAGCCUCAGAAGAUGUGUAACAUGGUUGGAGGGACUCUGCGAUUACUGGAGCAUCUUGAUCCCCAAAGGUUAGGUCACGAAAUGGAGGAUGAGGCCGUCGCCACUCAGAUAUCUCCGUGUGACAGUGAGGACUUCCUUCAGGAGCAAAACGGUGAACCACGUGCAGCUCUACGGGCCGUACUUCCUCAUGAUAUCCCACAGUUGGGGAUUAAGCUUCUUCAGGAACUGGGGGAGCUGCCCGAUGAACCUGAAGCUCUUAGACCCCAAGGACUGAAGGAUGAGGGGGCUCUUCAUCCCCAAGAGACUAGAGAUGCCCCUGAUGCAGAGGAGCACAGGACGAUGGAACCUGGGAGAGCCAGUGGUCUCCAGAUCCCUCCAGACCAGGAAUGGAGAGGCGUGGAGGCCCACCACCCUCGACCUGUACAUCAGAAGGUUUCUGAAGUACGUAGGGAGGAGUUAGUAAAACAGCUGCUUCUUCAGUCCCCUCAGAAAGCCCAAGGCCCUUUUCAGACCCCAGGAGUCAUGACAGAAGCGCCCGAUGGAAGUGCGAGGUUCCCAAUUCUGGAGGGACCCGGGAGAGUUCAGCCCCUCGAAGGCUUGCCAGAGGCAUCUCCUCGGGUUCCAGAGGCCAUGGGUCCACCUUGCCUUCCGUCCCAGGAAGGCUUGUUUCUCAAAGACCUUCAGAAAUCUCCGCAGUUUGGCUGGGAACCCCUUAAAGCUGAGGGGGAAACGAUAGAAGGAGGGCCAGGAACCCCAGUCUCUCCAGAGGAGCUGCAAGAAGCUGGGCUGACCGACUCAGGAUCUCGUGAAGCUCAGGAGUGGUCAAGAACCGCACAGGCUGUCCAGCAUCAGGAUCGGACGGGGCCAGCUGAAGGUCUACACACAUGGGAAAGGUCGCGGGACAGUCCACAGAUGGCCACAUGCCAAAGGCCACUGGAAAGGCAUCCACAGGGUCUUGGGUCCCAGGAAACUGCUAAGAAGAUGACGAGUCCGGGAAUCCAUUCUCCCCAGAAUCUGACGGAACGGGAGACCCACCCGGUAGACGAGGCGUUCACGAGGGAGCAGGAGGCCUCUCGCCUGGAAGAACGGAGGCCCAUCCGAUUGUACCGGAGGGAGUGGGAGCUUCAGAUGGAGAUGGAGGCCCUUGGGGCUGACCCACAGACUGAAUCACCAGCUUCUGAGGAAUGGAGCGAAGCCAGAACGUGGUCAUUUGAAGGGGCUCCACAGAAGACCCUCUUGACCCCCGGGGUGUCCCCCUUGGACCUGGGACAUCCUGAGCCCGGGGCCACCAGCAGGAAGCUGCAAACAUCGCAGCCGUGGGAGGAGGAAGCCACUGAAACCUGGAAGCCCACGACGGCGGUCCCCAUGCUUUCUCCCCCCAGCCCUGGAAGGGACGUUGAGGAGCCUCGGUGGGAGAUGGCGGCUUUCCGCAUGGGCUUGUCCAGAGAGGCCUCCAUCUGUGUGGCCCAAGGUGGGAGGCCGUCUCGGUUGCCUCAGGUAAGGAGGCCUGUGGGUGGCCAGGGAAGAGGGUCUGGCGAGGGCACCUGCGGGUGUUUGAAAAGGGGGAAAGAAGGCAGAGAGGGUGGAUUCUAAUCUCGGAGGCUGAAAUUGGAGCCAGUUCAGAGGAGGGCGACCAGGAGGAUCCGGGGGGGAGGGCGCUGGAAACCAAGCCCUU
rnacentral:lncRNA from 1 species